rnacentral:rRNA from 1 species
UACAGAGGGUGCAAGCGUUGUUCGGAAUUAUUGGGCGUAAAGCGCGUGUAGGCGGCUUGGCAAGUCGGGUGUGAAAGCCCUCAGCUCAACUGAGGAAGUGCGCCCGAAACUGCUUUGCUUGAGUGCUGGAGAGGGUCGCGGAAUUCCCCAAGUAGAGGUGAAAUUCGUAGAUAUGGGGAGGAACACCGGUGGCGAAGGCGGCGACCUGGACAGUAACUGACGCUGAGACGCGAAAGCGUGGGGAGCGAACAGG